UUUGUGUGAGUUGCCGAACGCUUCCCUGCGCUGUGCCUGGAUUUCAAGCACGUCAUAGUGCGGCUCCUACAUCAGUGAUCGCAGUGCGAGCGGCAAGGCGCUGUACUACGUAUCCUGAACACGGCCCUCCCUGGACAGGUGCUUGCGGCGUAUACCGUUCAAGGUUGGAGCUACGCACUCAUUGAAUUUCUUUAGUGCUCUAACCUGAGCCUUGCUCUACGGGAACCGGCCAACCAUGCACAGCGUAGAAGACGUUCUUGAUGCGAGCAGCUGGCAACUCCAAUUAUGACGAAGAGAAAGACAACGACGCACACUCGGUGCUUUCUUCGGCCACAACGGGCACCGUACCACGGCGUGCCUAGACUGCGAAAUAAAGCGAGUGGCAACGCGAAACAAAAGGAGCUGCGGCACAUUGGUGAUGGUUGGCGGA
rnacentral:lncRNA from 1 species